UACGAAGGGUGCAAACGUUGCUCGGAAUUAUUGGGCGUAAAGCGCACGUAGGCGGCUCUGAAAGUCGGAUGUGAAAGCCCCGGGCUCAACCCGGGAAUUGCAUCCGAAACCACCUCGCUCGAGUAUGGGAGAGGGAAGCGGAAUUCCUGGUGUAGAGGUGAAAUUCGUAGAUAUCAGGAGGAACACCGGCGGCGAAGGCGGCUUCCUGGCCCAUUACUGACGUUCAGGUACGAAAGCGUGGGGAGCAAACAGG
rnacentral:rRNA from 1 species